rnacentral:lncRNA from 1 species
AUUUUUUCUUCUAUUUUCCAAUUCUUUUUCUCUAUCUUUUCUUUCUUCCCACUUUUCCACUUUCCCACGUUUUUUUCUCUCUCCUUUUCUUUUCUUUUCGUUUAUUUCUUCUCAUCUCCGUUAAUCGAUUCUCGUUUCAAAUUUGAGCGGGAGGCAUCAUAAUUAAUCAUCUGUUCAUUGCAGUCCAAACUCUUUUCUCUUUUUGCCAAAAAUCUUUUCUUCCCCUUCUCCACUGAAUUGAUCUCCAUUACAAUUUUCUUGAAAUCAGACUACAAACCUGCAUUUGUUGAUUUUGGUGUUGGGUCAGGAGCCUUUUUGAUCUAUGGGCAAAGGGACUGGAAUAAAUCCAUGGCCAUGAAAGUGAUUUCUUGAUUUACUCAAGGUAUUAGUAUAUUUCUUUGAUUAUAUUUCGAAAAUAACAAUUAACAAUCUCUGUUUACCCUAUUUCAAAGCAACGCUUGUUUACGUGAAUACUGAUUAACUGCAGUUUCUUGUUCCAAAUUCUAAUUUAGUACAUGAAAUUUUGUAUUUCUCCUGAAACUUUGAUGAUUGAGUAUGAUGAUUGAUUUCAUUCUGAUUAAUCAUUGGUUAGAUUCUUGAAUCUCGACGUUUAGGGAUGCUUAUAUUUUAUGAAUGUUUUAUUUGAUAUUUUCUUUGUUUCUUGGGUACAGAAUUUGAGUUUCAACAAUGCCGUAAAAAGUAUGCUUAAUGCACGUCUUUUAUGGUACUCGUUACAUGCCAUGAUGAAUAUAGUUUUAGCCCUACGCCGUAAACAUACUAUAAAAAGUAAAUUUUGUAUGCAUCUAAAAUUUAUCUUCUUGAGUGUACUCAAUAAAUGAUAUAUUUUAGUUAAGUUGAACCCAUCAUUAAAAAAUAUCAAAUGUUUCAUAAUCUCAUGGUUCACUAUAAUGAUAGAAGUUAAAUUAUAAACCUAACUUAAUAUUUUUUAUAAAAGACCGGUUUAACGUGAAAAUAAACAUACAUAUGAUAGUGUUUUUUUUUUAAAAGACCGGUUUAAUAGAAUCUGGAAUUCUUUAAUUUUUGCCUUCAAAUUCGAACCUAAGCGAUGAAUUCUUUAUUCUUCAAUGUAUCUUCUCUCUUUUUUCUCUCUAAAGUAGGCUUUCAAUAUCAUAAGAAUUAGGUCUCCUACGUUUUGGCCGGCUCUUGGUAUAAAUAAGGUGCCAAAAAUUACACACCAAGAGUUUUCAAAACAAAAUAAGGAAACGGAAUUUUUUUACCAUAGUUGAAUCAUGUGUACGCAUGGUUCAAUUGGUGUGUAAGCAUAGUUUGCUUGAAUUAACCUCUGAAGUGAAAAUUUUCAACCAUGCGUACGCAAGGCUUGCAGGCUCAUGUGUACACGUGGUUCAAUUUUUUGAGACCAAUUUGCUUGAACUUUCUAAAGUGUGUGUUUUGAUCAUUUUCCUAAAUUUUCCUUCUGUUGACUUCUCUUCAAUUUCAAUUGACUUUUGGUGUUUUCUGAUCAUCGUCUUGCAAUUCAACUCAACUUUUGAAUUAUUACAUUUUAGUCCCCAAACUUUAAAUUUGCUUCAUUUUAGCCCUUUUCCAUUUUUUCUUUCAAUUCUUCUUUGAAACAUGAAUUUUUCCUAAUAAAAACAAUAAAUAAUAAAUUAGUUAUUAAUCUGUCCAAAAAAUAACAAAAUAUCACCAUUUAGGAUUCCAAAUAAGUAUAGAAACUACACUUAUCACUAUUCAAUCAUUCUUUUGGUUAGCCUGUUUUCAUUUUCCACGCAACACGUAUUUUUCCCUUUCGCCAAUCCAUUUUGGUCACCCCUCAUCCGACCUUUUCUAUAUCUUCAUUGCAUGUAUAGUGCGUUUUUAUGCACUUAUUUAGUUCACAAAUAUAAUUAAAUUAUUAGUGAAGUGUUUGAUUUGUGGCUUAAUUUCGUUUGAUUUGUGUAUUGUAGGCUAUAUUGAUAGACAUGGUGGAAUCCACAAGAAAAGAUUCGAUAAAGGGCUAAAACAAAGCAAAGAGAAAAUUUAGGGACCAAAGCACAAAUACCCAAAAGAUGAACCGAAGGGGGAGUCAAGCAAUUGAUUAAGCUAAGUACCAAUCAGAUGGCAUAAUGGAGUAAUGGAAUGACAAGAAACAAGAAAUUAGGUCAAAAUGGAAGAAAAUAAAGUUUGAGGACCAAAACAGGAAAAAAAUGGAAGUUUGUACUACUAUGUGGUCGCAUAGUGGUACUAGCCAUGCAGUCGCAUGACCCAUGGCAGGGAAUCUAGUGGCCUAUUUUUGCUUAACUAUGCGGUCGCAUAGGUUAAAGCUAUGUGGCUGUAUAGCUCAUUUUCGAGGCAAAAUUUUUGGUUUCCUGUUUUCGAUGAAAUUCUUCUGGAACUUGUUCGGAACGCGAGAUAAAAAUCUAGAGCAGUCAUAUUUUAAAAAAAAUGCAUUGGGAGGCAAGAAAACACAUCUUGGAGCGAAUUUGAAGUGACAACAACGAAGGAUUUUACGAAG